rnacentral:rRNA from 1 species
AGCAGCCGCGGUAAUUCCAGCUCCAAUAGCGUAUAUUAAAGUUGUUGCAGUUAAAAAGCUCGUAGUUGAAUUUCGGGAUUGGCGCAUCGGUCGUGCCUCACGGGGUAUGAACUGGUGCAGUCAAUUUCUCACCUUCUGGAGAACCGCGAUGUCCUUAAUUGGAUGCCGCGGGGAACCAGGACCUUUACUUUGAAAAAAUUAGAGUGUCUAAAGCAGGCAUUUUUGCUUGAAUACAUUAGCAUGGAAUAAUAAAAUAGGACGGCAUGGUUCUAUUUUGUUGGUUUCUAGGACCACCGUAAUGAUUAAUAGGGAUAGUUGGGGGCAUUAGUAUUCAAUUGUCAGAGGUGAAAUUCUUGGAUUUAUUGAAGACUAACUACUGCGAAAGCAUUUGCCGAGGAUGUUUUCAUUAAUCAAGAACGAAAGUUAGGGGAUCGAAGACGAUCAGAUACCGUCGUAGUCUUAACCAUAAACCUAUGCCGACUA